rnacentral:rRNA from 1 species
UACGUAGGUGGCAAGCGUUGUCCGGAAUUAUUGGGCGUAAAGCGCGCGCAGGCGGUCCUUUAAGUCUGAUGUGAAAGCCCACGGCUCAACCGUGGAGGGUCAUUGGAAACUGGGGGACUUGAGUGCAGGAGAGAAGAGUGGAAUUCCCGGUGUAGCGGUGAAAUGCGCAGAUAUCGGGAGGAACACCAGUGGCGAAAGCGCCUUGCUGGGCCAGUACUGACACUGAGGAACGAAAGCUAGGGGAGCGAAAGGG